GGGCCCGCACAAGCGGUGGAGUAUGUGGUUUAAUUCGAUGCAACGCGAAGAACCUUACCAGGGUUUGACAUCCUGCGAAUCUCUUGGAAACAGGAGAGUGCCUUCGGGAACGCAGUGACAGGUGGUGCAUGGCUGUCGUCAGCUCGUGUCGUGAGAUGUUGGGUUAAGUCCUAUAACGAGCGCAACCCCUGUUGUUAGUUGCCAGCGAGUAAUGUCGGGAACUCUAGCAAGACUGCCAGUGCAAACUGUGAGGAAGGUGGGGAUGACGUCAAAUCAUCACGGCCCUUACGUCCUGGGCUACACACGUGCUACAAUGCUACGGACAAAGGGCAGCAAGUUCGCGAGGACAAGCAAAUCCCAUAAACCGUGGCUCAGUUCAGAUCGUAGGCUGCAACUCGCCUACGUGAAGGCGGAAUCGCUAGUAAUCGCAGGUC
rnacentral:rRNA from 1 species